rnacentral:rRNA from 1 species
AUUGAACGCUGGCGGCAGGCUUAACACAUGCAAGUCGAGCGGGGUGAUGGUGCUUGCACUAUCACUUAGCGGCGGACGGGUGAGUAAUGCUUAGGAAUCUGCCUAUUAGUGGGGGACAACAUCUCGAAAGGGAUGCUAAUACCGCAUACGUCCUACGGGAGAAAGCAGGGGAUCACUUGUGACCUUGCGCUAAUAGAUGAGCCUAAGUCGGAUUAGCUAGUUGGUGGGGUAAAGGCCUACCAAGGCGACGAUCUGUAGCGGGUCUGAGAGGAUGAUCCGCCACACUGGGACUGAUACACGGCCCAGACUCCCACGGGAGGCAGCAGUGGGGAAUAUUGGACAAUGGGGGGAACCCUGAUCCAGCCAUGCCGCGUGUGUGAAGAAGGCCUUAUGGUUGUAAAGCACUUUAAGCAAGGAGGAGGCUCUUUUGGUUAAUACCCAAGAUGAGUGGACGUUACUCGCAGAAUAAGCACCGGCUAACUCUGUGCCAGCCGCCGCGGUAA